UACGUAGGGGGCUAGCGUUGUCCGGAAUCAUUGGGCGUAAAGCGCGUGUAGGCGGCCCGAUAAGUCCGCUGUGAAAGUCCAGGGCUCAACCCUGGGAUGCCCGGUGGAUACUGUCGGGCUCGAGUCCGGAAGAGGCGAGUGGAAUUCCUGGUGUAGCGGUGAAAUGCGCAGAUAUCAGGAGGAACACCAAUGGCGAAGGCAGCUCGCUGGGACGUGACUGACGCUGAGGAGCGAAAGCGUGGGGAGCGAACAGG
rnacentral:rRNA from 1 species